rnacentral:ncRNA from 1 species
UAAAAUAAAAGUUAUAUCGCUUAUAUAAGCUCAUAAUUUAGGUUGAGCGUUUCUACCCACUACCGUAAAUAGUUGAUUUAUAAGUAACCAUUAAGUUCUA